rnacentral:miRNA from 1 species
AAUGUGUCCAAGUUGGAGGAGAUAUCUUAAUAAUAUCGAUAUAUAUAUAUAUAUAUAUAUAUAUCGAUAUUAUUAAGAUAUCUCCUCCAACUUGG